CAGAAAAUUGGCAUUGGAAGGGGCAACCCCUCCUCUGUCUCUUAUCUUUCCACCCCUUUGUGAACCUUUGCAUGGGCCAGUACGGACCUUUCAUUAGGUUCGGAGCGCCCGCGACUUGUAUUAUAAACACCUUAGCAAGUCUCAGAAUGUACCUUGCGUUUAACCGCAUAAAUA
rnacentral:misc_RNA from 1 species